UGCUGCCAAGUUCCUGCAGAGGUUCCUCCACAUUAAUCACGCUGUUUAAUCACGGCCAUCUGUUCCAACAGCCAGCUAUGUGGCAGUCCCUCGGGGCUGGGACACACCCACACCCACCCCCCGCGACGGUACCCGAGGCAGGUGGAGCUCGGUGAGGGGUGAAGGCGGCCCCUAGGGCGGGGAAGGUCGAGCAGCACCUGGAGGCGGCGGGGAGGAGGCCGGGGGCCGAGCUGUGGAGGCCAUUUGCCGGCGGGCGGGUGCGAGUGUCCCAGCCUUCACUGAAGCAGACCAGAUUCUAAAUCUUCAUACUUUGUACCAUUUCAAGCCAGUCUGUUGUCAGCUGCAACUGGUUCUUUUCAUCUUUUGUGGUAAAUGUCAGGUUUCAGAGCUGGAACUUGCUGUGUGUUUUGAAGGCAGCCAAGAAGGAACUUUAAUGGCUCUCCUGGAAGUUGUUCAAAAGCCACUCCCAUUGACUGCAUCGGACAUUGGAUAAGGCCCCAAAAGCAAUUUCCAGGGAGGUAGAAGGCGACCCCCCUGUGCCAGAGGUGCGUGAUUCCAGUCGAGGCGGUAUCGUGAUGGCACGAAAUCAUGAGAGCUCCCGUCGCGCCUCUCCAGAGGAAAACGUGGAUAACUACGCAGUGCCGAUACGCUGACUGGACUGGGAGUUGCAAUGUGUAUCUUAAAACUAUGUAGGUAAUUUAAAUAAACGUUUGCAUUAGCUUUACCUGGC